UACGUAGGGGGCGAGCGUUAUCCGGAUUUACUGGGCGUAAGCGCGUUAAGGCGGCCGGCAAAGUUGAGGGUGAAAUUUCGGGGCUCAACCCCGAAACUGCCCACAAUACUGGUCGGCUAGAGUGCGAGAGAGGAAGGUGGAAUUCCCGGUGUAGUAGUGAAAUGCGUAGAUAUCGGGAGGAACACCAGUGGCGAAGGCAAUCCCCUGGACCUGUACUGACGCUCAUGCACGAAAGCGUGGGGAGCAAACAGG
rnacentral:rRNA from 1 species